rnacentral:rRNA from 1 species
CGGAGUUAGCAGAGAUGCUUUGGUGCCUUCGGGAACUCUGAGACAGGUGCUGCAUGGCUGUCGUCAGCUCGUGUUGUGAAAUGUUGGGUUAAGUCCCGCAACGAGCGCAACCCUUAUCCUUUGUUGCCAGCGGUUAGGCCGGGAACUCAAAGGAGACUGCCAGUGAUAAACUGGAGGAAGGUGGGGAUGACGUCAAGUCAUCAUGGCCCUUACGAGUAGGGCUACACACGUGCUACAAUGGCGCAUACAAAGAGAAGCGACCUCGCGAGAGCAAGCGGACCUCAUAAAGUGCGUCGUAGUCCGGAUUGGAGUCUGCAACUCGACUCCAUGAAGUCGGAAUCGCUAGUAAUCGUGGAUCAGAAUGCCACGGUGAAUACGUUCCCGGGUCUUGUAACACACCGAUAU